rnacentral:tRNA from 2 species
AUUUAAAUAGCUUAAAUAAUAGAGUAUGAUAUUGAAGAUAUUAUGGUGAUUUUGAUAAUCUUUAAAUA